ensembl:lncRNA
GCUACUCUUUAGCAUCACUGACAAUGUAGCCACUGGGAAAGUUUAUGCCAUUUUGUAGACACAACUGGAGGAAUUGAAAUCCCACAUUUCUCCAAAUGUGGUUUCCUGAGAAAUACACUCUCACCCGUGACCUGAAGGAAGGACUGUGAACACCUGCAUCUCUCACUUCAGUUCCAGAGUAAUCGCUCUAUGUCUGGGUUGCUAUUAGCUCUUCAGAAAGUGGGUGCUCACACUUUUUAAACUCUCUCAUUUGAUGCUAUUCAUUAAUGAGACCUAUGUUUUUCACUGUGACUGUGGGAAAUUACACUCGCCAGCUUGCUCAUUAUAAAACUUACAUUAAAGAAAAUCUCAUUUAAGAUAGUAAAAGGAUAUAUACAGGACACAUAUAGGAGAUUGGAAGGGAAAAUUAAACACAGAAGUAAGUCUCUAUUACAAAGAUACUGAAUUUUAAGUACCUGCGUUACUUGCUUAUUAGGCGAAUAAUUGAAAUUCUCUCUUACUCAAUUUUAUUAUCCUACAGGAUGGGAGAAACUUUCAGGCUCCACAUGAUAGCAAAUUUUCAACAUUAACAACUUCCUUCUCAGAAGGAAACAAAAUUCUUCAUCCUCUCAGCCUGUGGGAGCCCAUUAAUGUAUCCACUGUGGGGGAAGCCUUCAUCUCCUCCCUACACACCAUGCCCGUCUUUUCGACACAACUUCUUACAACGGUACUGAUGACUGAUUAAUUGCAAGGAGUUUCAGGACCAGAAAGUGUUCAUUGCCAUCCUGAGAGGGCCACACGCUGAGUGCCCAGAAUAAUUAUGCUCCCUGAGAGUUUGGGCAGAUUUUCACUCAUGGAAUUGUUAGAGACUGAAAGUGGUGAAUUGCAGAAACUUAAUUCCAAGUGGUGAAUUUUUAAGGACUCUCACCUAAGUGAACACAAAUAAGUUUCACGGAGGAAGGAGGGUGCGUGUGAUAUGUCUCACUGGAUGCAUGCAAAUUUAUAUGCCAACAUGAAAAGAUGCAGGGAAUUUUUUGCCCAGGAAACAUCUGUAAUUUUCCACAGAGAGCAGGGAAACAGAGAAGGUGUCUCUCAUGUUAAAGGUCAACGAAUUCUAUCAUAUUAGCAGGUUUUCCCCAAUGUGACAUCUUAGAGAUUCAGUGACCUCAUUGCUUGUGUCCAUUGUGCACUUCUUGGUCCAAUGUCCGUGCACCUCAUCUCCUGAGCACCCUGCUUAUUGGUUACGCAUUUUCCUUUUUUGGGUAUUCAUGUUUUGGUUGAACUUCUAGGUGUAUGUCCAGGAACAAUGAGUCCCUGUGAACAACAAUAAAAAAUACUUGCACAAAAAUAUACACAGCAGCUUCAUUCACAUAUAUAUGUAUAAAAAUAGCUAUGAGGACACAUGAGGGUAGGAAAGACAACUGGAAGCAUCCUUGGAGCAGGGAGAUACAGAGAGGCAAAGCUAGAGAUGAGAUAGUAAUUUUUGAGCAAAGCCCAACAGGCAGUUAUAAGGUUGGGAAGCAUUCCCUGUUGUGCAGCUUUGAUUGAGCUGCUAUAAUUUCAUAUUCCCCUCCAUGGCUCACACUAGGAGUAAGAUUCUGUAAAAUGCAC